rnacentral:rRNA from 1 species
AUUGAACGCUGGCGGCAGGCUUAACACAUGCAAGUCGAGCGAGCGGCGGACGGGUGAGUAAUGUCUGGGAAACUGCCUGAUGGAGGGGGAUAACUACUGGAAACGGUAGCUAAUACCGCAUACCAUCAGAUGUGCCCAGAUGGGAUUAGCUAGUAGGUGGGGUAAUGGCUCACCUGGGCGACGAUCCCUAGCUGGUCUGAGAGGAUGACCAGCAAAACUGGAACUGCGACACGGUCCAGGCUCCGUCGGGAGGCAGCAGUGGGGAAUAUUGCACAAUGGGCACAAGCCUGAGGCAGCCAGGCCGCGUGUGGGAAGAAGGCCGUCGGGUUGUAAAGCACUGUCAGCGAGGAGGCGUGACUCGCAGAAGAAGCACCGGCUAACUCCGUGCCAGCAGCCGCGGUAAUAC